AUGAUUAAAACACUAUACACACACCUAGUAAUUUUCCUUCAUUCAUCCUGGAAUGGUGCAGACUACUGUGAUCGGUAACCUCUCAUUACUCUAUUAUUAUUCACAACUUCUCAAACAAGAAAUCUGUUAAUCUGUUAUCACCCUUUUAUUAUUUCAUUCUACAAAUCAAGAAAUGCAAAACACAAAGAUGAUUUCUCACUUUUGAUUUUGUUUAUUUACUUGUGUUGUGAAGUUCUAACGUCUGGGUGUAGAAAAAGAUAAUUAGAAAGUGUAGAUAAGGUGUUCGACGUUAUGUCUGUGUGAGAAAGUUUAGUUUUUUUUAACGAUUUUGGUAGUAAUACGUUUGAUCUGAUGAGUGGCUGACUACUGGGUGAAGAAAUUGAUGAUUUUUAAACUUUUUUUAUGGUUAUCUUCAUCAUUUUGCUUUACCAGAAAACGACGUUUUUAAAUCACGAGGGGAACUAUUAACAAUUUGGUGUAGUGCAAUCUGUGUCAUAUUUCCACCUUUUUGUUUCAGUUGUGUAAAGUUUGUAAAUCUGAUUGGGGACCAUUAAUAUUUUCACUGGAUUUAAUUUAUAGAUUAAUGGGUUGGUAGUAAUAGUGGUUUAAUGGAUUAUCUAUGUGUUAACUUGUUGUGUAAUUGUUGUUAAAUACUAGAUCCCUAAAUUAGAGACUGUUUAAUGGAGUCUGUUAAAUGUUAAUGUUUCAUCUGCUAAUAUUGUGGUCAACUGUCC
rnacentral:lncRNA from 1 species